AUUGAACGCUGGCGGCAUGCUUUACACAUGCAAGUCGAACGGUAACAGGUUAAGCUGACGAGUGGCGAACGGGUGAGUAAUGCAUCGGAACGUGCCCAGUCGUGGGGGAUAACGCAGCGAAAGCUGCGCUAAUACCGCAUACGAUCUGAGGAUGAAAGCGGGGGACCGUAAGGCCUCGCGCGAUCGGAGCGGCCGAUGUCAGAUUGGGUAGUUGGUGGGGUAAAGGCUCACCAAGCCAACGAUCUGUAGCUGGUCUGAGAGGACGACCAGCCACACUGGGACUGAGACACGGCCCAGACUCCUACGGGAGGCAGCAGUGGGGAAUUUUGGACAAUGGGCGAAAGCCUGAUCCAGCAAUGCCGCGUGCAGGAAGAAGGCCUUCGGGUUGUAAACUGCUUUUGUACGGAGCGAAAAGGUCUCCUCUAAUACAGGGGGCUCAUGACGGUACCGUAAGAAUAAGCACCGGCUAACUACGUGCCAGCCGCCGCGGUAA
rnacentral:rRNA from 1 species